rnacentral:lncRNA from 1 species
AUGCGUGUUACUUUUGAAAACUGUACUUGCAGCCCCUGGAAGCAUAUAUGUGUGUGUGUGUGCGCGCGCACAUGUGGCCUUGUUGCACGGCUAUCACCAAAAGGUGCUCUGUCUCUCUUGUUUGCAGGCAGCAGCACUGGGUUUCCCCCAUCACACAGGAUGGGAUUUGAGAGGAACAAGGACAGUUUUCUCAGCAGCAUAAGAGUUUCCAAGGGCGGCCUACGCAUGAUAAUUCACUUUCUAAAAACAACCUGUGCAGCUCGCGUGCCUCUGACGCUGCCUCUGUGCUCAGACCUGGCUCCUGCUGUCUGCAGCUCGAGAAGAGCACCCUCCCUUCAUACUUGGUGUCCCUCAGCCUCAGCCCCUUCUUCCUUGGGGUCGGCUCUGGGGAGGUUGGGGUCAGGUCCCCCCAGCCCCUUGCGAGUGGCAGUGUCCUGCAGCUGUGCUGGGGCCCCGGGAACGGCUUGCCUUGGACUCAGUUCAUGCUCCACGUUGGUAAUAUCAAAGUGCUCUCUCCUCUUUGGACCGUUUUCAGGAACUGACAUCAGUUUUCAUAUAGCUUAAGCUUAAAAAGGCUACAUCAGAGAAGAUCAGUAGUGUUGGGAGAAUCAUCACUUCCGAGUACAGGUCUCUGCUCUUCACACUGUCUGAAGGAAUGCUUACUUUCUCCAGGUGUGUUUUUGCCAGUGUCCAGUAAAACACAUUAAACUGUGGAAGGUUUAUGCUGGAAGUUCCCUAACUUGAAG